rnacentral:piRNA from 1 species
UUAUGAAUGAAUGUUGCAAAAAAAA